rnacentral:lncRNA from 1 species
GGAUUAUUUUCACAGUGGCUAUUUGCAACCAUGGCACACGGUCCUUCCUCAGGUUGCUUGAUCUCUCCUUCAGUCAAAGAGCGCUGGACUGAGGUCUGGAAACCCGCUGAGAGGCCACAAUUCUUCACGGUGCUCCUCUCCUGGCCAAUUUAGGAGAAGGAAAGAUGGUGUCCAAAUCACUGAUGGUGAGAAAGUCAAACAGAAGGCUGCCAUUUUUAAAAAUGAAGAAAGGUUAAAC